CUCUCAAGGCACCUACCCUUUUGGAAAGUGGAGGCCCAGCAAAGCCCUCUCGUUUUUCUCCUUCCCAGCAGCGUGCCAUGUUCCACUUGCUGUUCUGGUACUUAGAGGUGUUUCUAAAAGACAGCUUUGUUUCACUGGGAAAAAAGGAAAAUCUAUAUUUUGAAGGAAAGAAAGAAGCUCUCCUGCCUCUAAUGUUACUCUGAAAGAGGAGGAUGUUGUGUGCAGAAGAUGACUCUGAUCCCAGGGUUCCUCCCUAGGGCGAGAGGCAGUCCUGUCCUCGUGUUCCAAAUGGCAGCUCUGGCAAUGCUGGCAUCAGAACACAGCAUGCUGGAAAUCAUUUAUGCACCUACCACGGAGUACCUGGAAGAAGGCGAGAGCCUGAAUUUGAACUGCCUCAUCAGGCACCAGCAGAAUGAAUCGUCCCAAAUUGAGGCUCACUGGUAUAAAAGAGCAGAUAAGGAAAUGAGACUUGGGCUUGGGGAGGAGAUGGAAAGCUUACACCUUUCACAAAACUCGGACCCCGGGGCGAAAGUCACGUCCUGGCUGCUGCUGCAGAUUCAGAAAGUCAACCAGUCAGACAGCGGCCGCUACCAGUGCAGGGCCAAAAUAAGAACACUGUCCUCACUGCUGUGGGCCACUUCAUCAGGGUGAAUGUAACAGAUGUGAACAUCGUCAACUCCACAGAGAGGACAGAGGUUGACCUGGAAGAGAACAAAGCUCUGAGGGUGGAUUCUGGGCUGGAGAAGAUGUGGGCUGUGGUCACAAUAUCUGGAUAAUUGUGUGUGUCAAAGGACUCAUACUGUGAAGGCCCUGUGAAGUCUGAGCUUCUUUGCUUAAACAAGCUAAUGUUCCUGAGAUGCUCUAAGAGCAACUUCACUUCAUUGCACGUGAUUUGUCUGGGAUUCAUGUGUUAUUUCAUGGACCACUUCAAAGUUCUGGGGGAUUUAUUUCUGGACUUCCUCAUACUGGUCAUUUGGAUUAUUCAUUUACCCGUUAAACCCCAUCUACCUCCUAGGGAAAGAAGAAUAAUUUCCACAUGACUUUUCUAGUCCUAGAAUUGAAAUUUUCUGACAUCAGUGUCAGUUCUUCCAGGUUUUCCCUUCGUUGAGGCAACAGAUUUCUCAGCAUUGUGCUCUUUGAAAUGAAGAGAUGGUUUGUUUCCAGCUGUACUUUCUGGGACCUGCCUCUCAUGCAGGGAGGGUUUUCCUUUCUUCUGUGCUCUCUAUGCAAGGAAGGAUAUUCUGUGUUCCUCUCUCCUCUGAAACAUCUCCUCACAUCCUUCUAGUCCAUUCUCUGUGCUCUUCAGUUUGCUCUGAGAAAGAUGCAAAUAUUCUCAUUGGUAUGAGCUUAAGGCAGGGGAGAAGGAAUGAAGUCAGUGUCAAACUCACUGUUCUGAAAACAGAAACCAAAAUCAGUUGUGAUGUUUUACCCUAGCUCUGGGAUGUUUUGAAAGGUUAUUUUGUCUACAGUCUUUUAACAGUGCUGUGUCUCUCUCCUCUUUUUCAAGUAUUUAUAUAAUUUGCCUUUUGUCAAAGGACUUCUCUCCCAGGACUUAAAAUUUGGUACCAAAUGACAAAGGGAAGAUUGUGACAUCUGUAUCUGUUUCAGUGGUGACUAAAGCUUGUCUGAUGAGCACUUCUGAUCUCUGCCAUGUUUUUCGUACUUGGACAUGUUUGUAACAUUUUUCAGUGUUAAAGCAGACACAUAUCUUUUAAAUAAAUAA